ACGGUGGUUUUACUUCGCGGUGCCGGAUCGAGAAAUCCGGCUGAAAAGGGAAUCCGGUGCAAUUCCGGAACUGCCCCGCAGCGGUAAGCAGGAACGAAAGCUCCAAGGGUAAGCACUGGCCCGGGCAUGGGCUGGGAAGCGGGAGCAAAUAGGCAGCCUGCGAGUCCGAAGACCUGCCACGAAGACAUUCGCGGA
rnacentral:ncRNA from 2 species